rnacentral:rRNA from 1 species
UACGUAGGGGGCAAGCGUUGUCCGGAAUCAUUGGGCGUAAAGCGUGCGCAGGCGGUUUUGUAAGCCAGAUGUGAAAGCCCGGGCUCAACCUGGGAACUGCAUUUGGGACUGCAAGGCUGGAGUACGGCAGAGGGAGGUGGAAUUCCACGUGUAGCAGUGAAAUGCGUAGAGAUGUGGAGGAACACCGAUGGCGAAGGCAGCCUCCUGGGCUAGUACUGACGCUCAUGCACGAAAGCGUGGGGAGCAAACAGG